UCCAGACUCCUACGGGAGGCAGCAGUGGGGAAUAUUGCACAAUGGGGGAAACCCUGAUGCAGCGACGCCGCGUGAGUGAAGAAGUAUUUCGGUAUGUAAAGCUCUCUCAGCAGGGAAGAAGAAAGACGGUACCUGACUAAGAAGCCCCGGCUAACUACGUGCCAGCAGCCGCGGUAAUACGUAGGGGGCAAGCGUUAUCCGGAUUUACUGGGUGUAAAGGGAGCGUAGACGGCAUGGCAAGUCAGAUGUGAAAGCCCGGGGCUCAACCCCGGGACUGCAUUUGAAACUGUCAGGCUGGAGUGCAGGAGAGGUAAGUGGAAUUCCUAGUGUAGCGGUGAAAUGCGUAGAUAUCAGGAGGAACACCGGCGGCGAAGGCGGCCUGCUGGACCGCGACUGACGUUGAGGCUCGAAAGCGUGGGGAGCGAACAGGAUUAGAUACCCGCGUA
rnacentral:rRNA from 1 species